rnacentral:rRNA from 1 species
CCUACGGGAGGCAGCAGUAGGGAAUCUUCCACAAUGGACGAAAGUCUGAUGGAGCAACGCCGCGUGAGUGAAGAAGGGUUUCGGCUCGUAAAGCUCUGUUGGUAGUGAAGAAAGAUAGAGGUAGUAACUAGACUUUAUUUGACGGUAAUUUCUUAGAAAGUCACGGCUAACUACGUGCCAGCAGCCGCGGUAAUACGUAGGUGGCAAGCGUUGGCCGGAUUUAUUGGGCGUAAAGCGAGUGCAGGCGGUUCAAUAAGUCUGAUGUGAAAGCCUUCGGCUCAACCGGAGAAUUGCAUAAGAAACUGUUGAACGUGAGUGCAGAAGAGGAGAGAGGAACGCCAUGUGUAGCGGUGGAAUGCGUAGAUAUAUGGAAGAACACCAGUGGCGAAGGCGGCUCUCUGGUCUGCAACUGACGCUGAGGCUCGAAAGCAGGGGUAGCGAACAGGAUUAGAUACCCCUGU